GCGUUUCACCUCUAGAGGGCCUAGAAGGAGUUAAGUUGCCAGGGAGGGAAACGACCAAUGGGAGCUCUCCAGCCAGAAGCAGGGUGUAUAUAGAGAGAAGCAGGCAGGCAGGAUGAGAUGAUGGGAGAGUUGAGAGAGUUAGAUGUGAGGGGAGAGAGAUAGAUGAGAGGAGCUGGUGUGAAGAAUAGAGCUGGUUAAUAUUGUGGUGGCUGUUAAAUAGCGAGAUAGACAGGAUAUAGUGUUAGGAGUUUAGUGAUAAUUAUUAUUAGUAUUAUUUAGAGGUAAUAGGCCGGUAAAUCAUAUUUAGAGGUAUUAGGCCGGUAUAGGAACCAUCUGUGAUUUUGGAAACCGUUUAAGCUUUGUACAGUAACCAAUACGCAUAAGAGUAUUCAAUAAACUAUUCUGUUUUAUUUUACUAUA